GAUGACCAACAAGGGAGGAAGAGGAAAAAGAAAAAGUGUGAAGGCAGAAUAUUGGAUAAUAGAAGUCAAGACUGCCUUCAAAAUAAAACACCACCUCAAGAGGCAUACAGUCACUGCAGGUCCCUCAGGAAAUGAUGCAAUGUACAGCUGUGUCAGGUAUGAUGGCUAAAGAAAUUCCCUUUCAUGCCAGGCAUCCAUCUUGUUUCAGCAGGAAACCAUCACGGCCUAAGCUAAGGGACACUGCCUCGGGAGUCCUUCAGCAUCCUCGGCCCCAGCACCUCCUUAAGGACAGAACUGACCUGGUGUUUGCCUCUUCCAUUCAGCCGACUGUUUCAUCUCAUGGACAAACGCCACUCAAGACACGUGUAGCUUUUAGAAGGUUGGACAAGGAUUUGACAAGGAACAACACAAUUCUGAUGUCAAAACCAGAUCAAUCCCAAGGAAGCUUAAUCCCAGGAAAACAACAUGAAAAAAAUGAAAGCAGUGCUGAAGAGAUGCAACAAUACUGCAGCUGAAUUCGCAUGAAUUCGAACCAGCCAUGAGUCAGAUGCACCACCACCAUGCAGAGACCCAAGAGGCCUCAGAUGCGCACCUGUUUUGAGGCCAACAUGCUGAGCACUUCCGCUGACUCUUGGGAAACUCCCUUUGUGUCAAUUGCUUUUGGGAAAUGUCACCAGAAGGCCAUUGGUAGUUUUGAAUAACUUUGCGACAAAGGAAACCAUGGGAAACUGGGGCAACACAGUAGGAGACUGGAUUUUUCAGCUUUUUCAAGUGGAACAGCCAUGAACAAUUGUGUGGAAGUGACAAGAAAGAUGCAUGCCUUCGUUCCUCUUAGGUGAAUACCUAGGAAGAGAAUGGCUAAUUCGUGUGGUAGGUGUAUUGUUCAUUUUAAAGGCGCUGCCAAACAUUCUCUGUGGUUGAACCAUUUCAUAGCCCACCAGCCUUGAAAGGCAGUUCCAGGUCACGCUCAACCUGGAAUGUUAUUGCUGUUUUAAUGGACACUUACAUAACGCUCAUCUUGCCAUAAGCGUACCUAAAAAUCCAUGUAUCUUCUUUAGUGACAUGUCUCUUCACAUAUAUUGUCCACCUUAACAAAAUAGAUUGCCAGCUUCCUUAUGAUUGACCCAUGAGCAUCCUGGACAUAUUCUAUGUGUAAUUCCUUUAUCAAAUA